CACGCUACACGUUGGUCACUGCACUACCAGCAUCGUGUGUUGAAAGGCAAUGAAAAUAAAAAAAAAAGUAAGAAUGAUUAGAUGUGAAUCCCCGCGAACGCAUAAAUAUCUUUAGAAAAGUGAAUAAAAUGAUUUGACUAUUCUUACGAAAUUUGUUUGGAAUGAUUUACAAGAAAUAAAGUUAAUAAAGCAGCCGUUUUCAUCGGACGAGGUGGCCGAGUGGUUAAGGCGUUGGACUGCUAAUCCAAUGUGCUCUGCACGCGUGGGUUCGAAUCCCAUCCUCGUCGAUUUCGCUUUUUGUUACUUUGCAAAAAUUUCUAAUUCAUAAACUAUAUGUUAGUAGAGAAAGUUGAUAAAAAAAAUUGAUGGCUCUUUAAUAUUGAAGACAUAAGAGUCAUUGAACUUAAAAACUUUAUUCCUUAAGAAAAACAAACAAGCAAUGGUUUUAGUACGUACAAAUUGAAACCAAUGGUAUUUUAAAAUUAUAUUAUUUGAAUUAUUCACUGUUAUUAAGAAAUACAUACAAUGUACAAAAAUAUUUUUCAUUAUUUCUUUUAAUUAUUUAUGUGUUACAAUGAAUGUUGAAUUUGUUAUUAUUAUAUUAUUAUAUAGUAUAUAUAUAUAUAUUAGAUUUAAUAAUAUAAUGUACUGUAUUCAUUAAUAACUAAAUUAAAAUGAAUGUGAAAUAAUUGUUGAAAUAAUUAUUUGUAUAAA